rnacentral:rRNA from 1 species
AGCGAACGCUGGCGGCAGGCCUAACACAUGCAAGUCGAACGAUCCUUCGGGAUAGUGGCGGACGGGUGAGUAACACGUGGGAACGUGCCCUUUGGUUCGGAAUAACUCAGGGAAACUUGAGCUAAUACCGGAUGUGCCCUUCGGGGGAAAGAUUUAUCGCCAUUGGAGCGGCCCGCGUUGGAUUAGCUAGUUGGUGGGGUAAAGGCCCACCAAGGUUACGAUCCAUAGCUGGUCUGAGAGGAUGAUCAGCCACACUGGGGCUGAGACACGGCCCAGACUCCUACGGGAUGCAGCAGUGGGGAAUCUUGCGCAAUGGGCGAAAGCCUGACGCAGCCAUGCCGCGUGAAUGAUGAAGGUCUUAGGAUUGUAAAAUUCUUUCACCGGGGACGAUAAUGACGGUACCCGGAGAAGAAGCCCCGGCUAACUUCGUGCCAGCCGCCGCGGUAAUAC